CUGAGUUCAUGCCCUUACGGGUAGAUCUCCCACCCUUGAAUAUCUAAACCUUUGUUGCUUUGGCGGGCCGCUUCGGCUACCGGCUCCGGCUGGUGAGUGCCCGCCAGAGAACCUUAAACUCUGAAUUACAGUGUCGUCUGAGCACUAUAAAAUAGUUA
rnacentral:misc_RNA from 1 species